rnacentral:rRNA from 1 species
CAGCAGCCACGGUAAUACAGAGGGUGCGAGCGUUAAUCGGAUUUACUGGGCGUAAAGCGUGUGUAGGUUGUUGUUCAAGUCAGUUGUGAAAUCCCUGGGCUCAACCUGGGAACUGCUUCUGAGACUGAACGACUAGAGUACGGUAGAGGGUGGUGGAAUUUCCGGUGUAGCGGUGAAAUGCGUAGAUAUCGGAAGGAACAUCAAUGGCGAAGGCAGCCACCUGGGCCUGUACUGACACUGAGACACGAAAGCGUGGGGAUCAAACAGGAUUAGAUACCCCUGUAGUCCCUGUCUCUUAUAC